rnacentral:lncRNA from 1 species
UUUGAGAAUAAACAAGUAUCCUUCCUCUCAGAAAAAAUAAAAAGUUGAAACAAUGGCUGUCUCUUCUUCACCAAAAUUGAUUUUGCUUUUGGUCACUCUCAUGGCUACUGGUUAAUGACUAUCUCCUUCCCUCAUUUCGUUUGAUCGUUUCUAUAUUGAAAGUACAAGUUAGAUCUAACAUAUAGGAGUAUGACAUUAAUUAUACUUUAUGUUUUGCAUGCAUGCAGCUCAUCUGAUGACUUGGCCUCAAGUAAACGCCGUGAGAGAAAUUGGUGAAGAAUUAAGAGGAAUGCAAUUACUGUACCCUCAUGAUCUAAAUGGUGUUACUUGUGCGAGACGAU